rnacentral:rRNA from 1 species
GACGAAGGGGGCAAGCGUUGUUCGGAAUUACUGGGCGUAAAGCGUGCGUAGGCGGUUCGUUAAGUCUGUCGUGAAAGCCCUGGGCUCAACCUGGGAAUUGCGAUGGAUACUGGCGAGCUAGAGUACGGUAGAGGAUGGUGGAAUUCCCGGUGUAGCGGUGAAAUGCGUAGAGAUCGGGAGGAACACCCGUGGCGAAGGCGGCCAUCUGGACCAGUACUGACGCUGAGGCACGAAAGCGUGGGGAGCAAACAGG